GGCCUGACUGUCCUGUCAACUGUCUCUUUGGUUCCUAUCUUAUCUACCUGCCAAGACCCUACUCUCUCCUGUGAAUCUCUUUUCUUCGUCAGACACCUUGCAUCACAGAUAGUUGGAGAUGAAAAGGACCUUAGAAACCAUGAGAAACACCAUGGGCCAGGAGAAUGGGGAGCUCUGGAGCCAUAAACCUGGCUUCAGGUCCCAGUUCUGCCACUCACCAGCUGGGUGGCCAAGGGACGUUCUCCAAUAAGCGUUCAUUCUGUGCCCCCAGCACCCACUUUCCCUGUCCGGACCUUCCUGCAGAUGCAUUUUUGAGACCACUCAGGUUCCUGGGUCACUGAUGAGCGUCCCUGCGGGCCUCCCACCAUCCUCCACUUGGUGGCUGACUCCAGC
rnacentral:lncRNA from 1 species